rnacentral:ncRNA from 1 species
UGAUAGCUAUGAAGCGUGAGGUUGCCGCAAUGAAUUUUGCGGGUUUUUCCGUGGAGCGAAUGUCAAGUUAUGAAACUGACGACAA